UACAGAGAGUGCAAGCGUUAGUCAGAAUUACUGGGCGUAAAGCGCACGUAGGUGGAUACCUAAGUCAGAUGUGAAAGUCCUGGGCUUAACCUGGGAAUUGCACCUGAUACUGGGUAUCUUGAGUAUGGUAGAGGGAAGUGGAAUUUCCGGUGUAGCGGUGAAAUGCGUAGAUAUCGGAAGGAACACCAGUGGCGAAGGCGGCUUCCUGGACCAAUACUGAACACUGAGGUGCGAAAGCGUGGGGAGCAAACAGG
rnacentral:rRNA from 1 species